GUACCUUCGAAAAUUAAUUAAACAUCUCUUAAUUAAAAACAGUAUACCCCAUAAUAUACGUGCGAAGGUGAAAUUUUGACUCCCUUUAGUAUUGGGCCUAUGCGAGAAGCGUAUAGGUCCAUUAU
rnacentral:sRNA from 1 species